rnacentral:lncRNA from 1 species
AGAGAGCUUGGAUGAAGGUUUUCACGGUUGAGAAGAGAUAGGAGUGUUGGAAAUCUCAUGCGGUUGCUGGAUAAGGAUGGAUCAUGUAACCAAAUUGAACUCUGUUCGGUAACAAGGGAAUCCGAAAGAAGAUUUGAUGGCUGGGAGAAAAUCCAUGGAGGGGAAUGUAAUUGCUUUGAUUCGUGAUGAAGAGGAGAUGAUUUAGGAGCAGAGGAUGUGAAUGAAUCAGUUGUUUCGUUGUAAGUUGCUGGGCAUCUUAUUCUUCACGACUGAAACGGGGGAUUCAGUUUGGAUGAAGAAGAGGGAGCCGUAUGCAUGGAGUGGGUAAUAAUCCAUUGGGAAACAGAUGGAGUUCGAAGUUGUUAAUCCAUGAAACUCGGGAUGAAGCUGAUGGCUUGGUUCGGAAGAGGGAAGACACGCGGAUGGGAGGAAUCCGGAAGAGGAGGAAGUUUGUUCUG